GGGAAUGUAGCUUAGUGAUAGAGUGCUUGCCUUGCAUGCAUGAAGCCCUGGGUUCGACUCCUCACUACCA
rnacentral:tRNA from 1 species